GGCGCGUAGGCGGCUUGCCAAGUCAGGGGUGAAAUCCUGCAGCUCAACUGUAGAAGUGCCUUUGAUACUGGCGAGCUCGAGGGAGGUAGGGGUGGGUGGAACUUCUGGUGGAGCGGUGAAAUGCGUUGAUAUCAGAAGGAACGCCGGUGGCGAAAGCGACCCACUGGAUCUCUACUGACGCUGAGGCGCGAAAGCUAGGGGAGCAAACG
rnacentral:rRNA from 1 species